UAAACCUUAAAAGUAUAUUUAGCAUCUUAAAUGCGGAAUCGUGUUCAGAGAUCAACGCUCCUUUAAUUCGUCUCGCCGCAGUAGCUGAACACACCCACAUCGCUGAUAAGCUGGAUAACGCAGUCAGCUUAUUAUCCGAGAUAAAGAUGUACAAUCAAGAAGCAAGCACAACCACACAUACCUCGGAGCCGCGGAAGUUAUCGAGUGUUUCCGAAUUACAGCCAGCUACGACGAAGCGGUGAGCUUUUAACUUGUUGAAAUGACUCACUGGGAAUAAAUAGACCGUUGCAUUAUGGGUAGAGCUCAGUUGUGCAAUAACCGAUUUGAA